rnacentral:rRNA from 1 species
GGAGGGUGCAAGCGUUAUCCGGAUUCACUGGGUUUAAAGGGUGCGUAGGUGGGUUGGUAAGUCAGUGGUGAAAUCCCCGAGCUUAACUUGGGAACUGCCAUUGAUACUAUCAGUCUUGAAUACCGUGGAGGUCAGCGGAAUAUGUCAUGUAGCGGUGAAAUGCUUAGAUAUGACAUAGAACACCAAUUGCGAAGGCAGCUGGCUACACGAAUAUUGACACUGAGGCACGAAAGCGUGGGGAUCAAACAGGAUUAGAUACCCUGGUAGUCCACGCCCUAAACUAUGGAUACUCGACAUACGCGAUACACUGUGUGUGUCUGAGCGAAAGCAUUAAGUAUCCCACCUGGGAAGUACGACCGCAAGGUUGAA